rnacentral:misc_RNA from 1 species
UGUGGGAGCUGGCUUGCCUGCGAUAGCGGUAUGUCAGCCAACCCAUCUGUAACUGACCUGCAGCUAUCGCAGGCAAGCCAGCUCCCACA